UUUGUCACGUGAAUUUUCCAAAACGAAUCAAGCUUCGAUACAAAGCUUCGAUGAAAAUCGGUUCAUUUUUUUGACACACGCCUCGGAGCUUCGGUGUCACUGAUAACAUCACUAGUUUUGGUUACUUUUGAAUGCUGGCGGUGUUUUCACUCUAGUGGUAGCAUGAGAUGGAGUCUACAACCCACACAAGUGGCUCAGUGCCCAGGUUCAUGUCACUCGUCUUGGGAUCUGGUUCCUGGCCAGUGUAGAGGAGGUGGCUAAAUAAGAAGUCCUGGACAUCAGCUGACUGCAAGUUUGGAUCCUGGCCAGUGUACUGGAGGUGGCUAAAUGAGUAGUCCUGGACAAUAAGAGCUCUCACAGGAUAAUAGCCAGAAUGAGCAUAGGAGGCAACUUCUUGCUGGGAGCAGGACAUGUUGGAAUCCAAGGAGCCUGGGAUACAGCAAUGGUUCUCUGCAACAAAACGAACACAAAACAAUGAAGGUUGACAAAAACGGCUGACUGUUGAGUAACAUGUUAACCACAUCUCACCAAUACGUUUUUCUGAAACAAUAUUACAAUACAAUGCAGCUCCUAGUGUCCAUCUUCUGGACUUCUGUCAUGGUGAAAUUUCAGGUUUUGAAAUAAAUUUGAUACCCAACUUCCUCCCCUCUAAUGUACUUAGAUUUCAUAGUUCCUACAUCCUCCCCCUUACAUGCCAGGAAAUGAAUCGGUUAUGCUAAUAAAUAGCAUAUUGAUGUGAAUGUGUGUGAUGGGCUGGCAUCUCAAUCAGAGCACACAGUUUUACUUUGAAACUGACCAGAGUAAAGUAGGUACUAAAGAUGAAUGAAUAUAUAAAUGAAAGAAUAAAUUAUGAACGUCUACUGACCGACCGCAUCAGAGAUAUCAGGUGAAUUCAGCAUCGGAUGAAAAGGACUUGGGUGAUUGGAGACUUCUUGCCCAGUGGCAAGCUGGGCCCUGUUGGAAGGUGUGAGUCUCUUUAGCUUGACCAGAAGCUCCGGGUUGGCCCGUUUGAAGUUCGGGUUAAAGUAGUGCUGUAUGAAGCUCACUUCUGAGAUCUUAUAGUCUGGGCUUUUUUGAAGCCAUACAGGUUUAGUUGAUGAACAAAAUUGAUGAAAUUAGUCGUUUUGAAAAACUUGACCAUCUGCUUGUUGUCUGUGGAUAGCACUUCAGCUUUGAAGGUCUCUGGACAGAUCAGGAUUCCUUCCCCACUGUCAUCCCAGAAGAUUGAAGAAAUCUGAGGAUCAUUCACCAAAUGCCACAAGUUGUUGGGAAAGUUUCUUUGGUUGAUCCGGACUUCCAUCCCAGCUAAAUGAUUUGUAAACAACAGAUAUGAGCUCAGUGUUAUUGAACUAUAGAUGUUAAUAAAUCUAGACAGUUGCUAACUAGAUUGUAACAAUUGAUCUCUAGCGCUAACUAGUUAGCAGGGCGGCUAUCUAACACAUUCAUCCAUCUACAUUAACAAAUGAUUUAUAAAAUAAAUAAGUAAAUAAAGAUUAAGAACUAAUACAUAGCCAUCAUCAACAAGCUAGCAGCAUUUUCUCGCCUCCCGAGUGGUAAAUUAAUUAAAAACAAAAGAAACACUAUCGGAUUAUUUCUGAUAUCUGAUUAUAACAUGUACAAAUACCCGAUAUCUCGGCUCAUUCUGUUGAAUCAACGUUUCCACUCAUGAUCAGAAGCGUUUAAAGUCAGUGUAAGAUGAGUGUAAAGCGUUUAAACAGAAUCUCUUAAGCACUCGCCGACUUCUGGAGUUUAAAUUUAAAUGUAAAGAAGUGAACGGGCAGAAUUUCUGACGUCAAUCAUUCAUUCAUUCAUUCGCUAACCAGCCAACCCCCCCUCAAAAAUAUUGAAUAAGUGCGCGCCUGUAUCUGUCCAAUCAGAGUGAAACAAGAGACUGCGACAAUAAUAAAGUGAAUUCCUGCUGUGUAGUAAAUUGUAGGUCAAUAUAGUGAAGAAGAAUUUGUUUUUGAGAAUAUUUAGUUUUUUUUAGUUUUUAGUCUGGGACGGUUUGCAGCCGAGUGUGACAGGCGGAUUGGUGUAUCUUCUGCAGUGAUGCGGUCGAUAUACCGAUCUGUUAUGGUGAAGAAAGAGCUGAG